rnacentral:rRNA from 1 species
GAUGAACGCUGGCGGCGUGCCUAAUACAUGCAAGUCGAGCGAACGGACGAGAAGCUUGCUUCUCUGAUGUUAGCGGCGGACGGGUGAGUAACACGUGGAUAACCUACCUAUAAGACUGGGAUAACUUCGGGAAACCGGAGCUAAUACCGGAUAAUAUUUUGAACCGCAUGGUUCAAAAGUGAAAGACGGUCUUGCUGUCACUUAUAGAUGGAUCCGCGCUGCAUUAGCUAGUUGGUAAGGUAACGGCUUACCAAGGCAACGAUGCAUAGCCGACCUGAGAGGGUGAUAGGCCACCCUGGAACUGAGACACGGUCCAGACUCCUACGGGAGGCAGCAGUAGGGAAUCUUCCGCAAUGGGCGAAAGCCUGACGGAGCAACGCCGCGUGAGUGAUGAAGGUCUUCGGAUCGUAAAACUCUGUUAUUAGGGAAGAACAUAUGUGUAAGUAAAUGUGCACAUCUUGACGGUACCUAAUCAGAAAGCCACGGCUAACUACGUG